GAUGAACGCUGGCGGCGUGCCUAAUACAUGCAAGUCGAGCGAACAGACGAGGAGCUUGCUCCUCUGACGUUAGCGGCGGACGGGUGAGUAACACGUGGAUAACCUACCUAUAAGACUGGGAUAACUUCGGGAAACCGGAGCUAAUACCGGAUAAUAUAUUGAACCGCAUGGUUCAAUAGUGAAAGACGGUUUUGCUGUCACUUAUAGAUGGAUCCGCGCCGCAUUAGCUAGUUGGUAAGGUAACGGCUUACCAAGGCAACGAUGCGUAGCCGACCUGAGAGAGUGAUCGGCCACACUGGAACUGAGACACGGUCCAGACUCCUACUGGAGGCAGCAGUAGGGAAUCUUCCGCAAUGGGCGAAAGCUUGACGGAGCAACGCCGCGUGAGUGAUGAAGGUCUUCUGAUCGUAAAACUCUGUUAUUAGGGAAGAACAAAUGUGUAAGUAACUAUGCACGUCUUGACGGUACCUAAUCAGAAAGCCACGGCUAACUACGUG
rnacentral:rRNA from 1 species